rnacentral:tRNA from 1 species
GGAAGGGUCGCAUAGUUGGCCUAGUGCGCUCGCCUGGAAAGCGGGUAUGCGGAAACGCAUCGCGGGUUCGAAUCCCGCCCCUUCCGCCA